AUACGGAGGAUCCGAGCGUUAUCCGGAUUCAUUGGGCGUAAAGCGCGCGUAGGCGGCUCGGGAAGCGGAACCUCUAACCUUGGGGCUCAACCUCAAGCCGGGUUCCGAACUCCCGGGCUCGAGUCAGGUAGGGGCAGGCGGAAUUCCCGGUGUAGCGGUGAAAUGCGUAGAUAUGCCACAGAACGCCGAUAGCGGAGGCAGCUCGCCAGGCCUGCAUUGACGCUCGGGCACGAAAGCGUGGGGAUCGAACAGGAUUAGAUACCCUGGUAGUCCACGCCGUAAACGAUGGGCGCUCGUCGUCGGCGGCAGACAGUCGGCGGCCAAGCGAAAGCGAUAAGCGCCCCACCUGGGGAGUACGGUCGCAAGGCUGAAACUUAAAGGAAUUGACGGGG
rnacentral:rRNA from 1 species